CACACACACACACACACACACACACACACACACACACACACACACACACACACACACACACCCACGUACAUCCUUAUCACACUCAGGAUGGGAGGAGAUGCAGGAUGAGGACCAAAGUCUUGUCUGCCUUUAAGCAACUUUAACAGGUCUCCCAGUGGUCUGGAUUGAAGAAUGUAGACAUUAUUGUGUGUAUGGGUUUCUGACUGUAUGUGUGUAUGUGAGUUUAUAUACAUUUGUGUGUGUGUGUUUCUGUAACUGAUUGUGUGUCUGUAUGUGUGUGGGGGUGUGUGUGUCAGUUUCAUCAUCUGUGUGUGUCUUUCAAUAUCUGUGGUUGUGGUUAUAUAUGUCUGUUUGUGUGAGUGUGUGUGUCCAUAUCUGUCUGUUUGUGUCUGCGUUUAUGUGUGUGUGUGUGUGUGUGUGUGUGUGAGGACAGUCUUGUUGGACCACACGGAAGCUGUCGACGGGGCCCCUCCCCCCUCCAUCUCAGGCCCCUCAGCCCUCUAGUUAAAGGCCGAGAGGAACAGCGAUGGACCGAGGGGUGAGAUACACAGAGAGAGAGAGAGAGCUAGGUAGAAGCGCUCAGCAUAUGUGCAGCCUCUCUCUCUUCACGCAGUGCUCUAGGCAGCCUCUCUCGGCCCCUUCAAAGUGUGCGUUCUCGCGCGGGUGUGUGUGAGACUGCCGGUGUGUGUGCAUGUUUGGGAGACUGUGUGUCUGGUUGUUUGUGUGUGUGUUAAGUAUGUCUGGUGUUAAGUGUGUCUGGUUGUGUGUGUUAAUACGUGUGGGUGCAUGUGUGUGUUUUAAAUGUGUGCGCGUGCGGGCAUGAAUGUUAAGCUUGCCCAGUUGUGUGUGUGUGUGUGUUUCAAGGGUUUAUGUGUGUGUGUGUAUGUGUGUGGGUGUGCAUGUGUGUUAAGCUUGCAAUGUUAUGUGUGUUUUUAGUGUGUGCAAUACGUGUGUGUUUUAAGCAUGUGUGUGUCUGUGUGCGAUCGUUUCUUCACAGAUGUCCUUGAACAGCCCCCCCGCGGCUCGACGGACCCCCGCUGUCGCUGGAGGACAUUUGACAAGCAGCAGACGGCACGGCCAGCCAAGAGGACCACCAUUAGCUGGGUGGAGGGCGAGGACACAGAGUUACACACAUUAUCUCCGUCCUGAUCACAGCAGAGCGGGGCCUGCCAGGACCCGUCUCCGCUCCGACGACCGUUCCUUACUAAUUAAUGGACUGGGGCCCCGAUCUCCAGCACCCGACGCCACACAAACCACAUGCACUACACAUGCUGCUCCGAUUGGCCGAGGCUCCUGUGUGUGUCUGUAAUUGUGUAAUUGUGUGUGUGUCAUUGGAAACGCGUGGCUAAGACAAGAGGCAUUCGGUUGGAGGAAGGAUAUUCUGUAGAUAUUCAGAGCGCAAUUUAUCUGACAAAUUAACGGUGAUUUGGCAAAGGAGAGCACUUCUAACAAAAGCCUUUGUUGAAAUGGUUUUCAGUUCUGUAGAAACCAGUGGAACUGUCCCCGAUCCCCUAAAGAUAUCCACCGUUGUAUUUUCCUUUAUUUUAUUUUGUGCAAUAGACUUUAAAUGGUUGAAAUGAUGGAGGUAAUACAAACGCAGUUCUUUUGUAUGAUUGUUUAGUGGCAACAAAUGAUAUACUUAUAAAUAUUGUGUUAAAUAUUCCAUCAUUAUGUUUUGGUUAAAACAGGAGACUAUUUUGUCUUGCCGUGCCAACUAACAUUAAAACACAAGUAAAAUGUGUACAAAAACAAAGUUGAAACACAAAGUGUUUUUCUCUCUCUCUUCCUAUCGCGGCCCACAAUGCACGGCUCACCUUUCAACUGCCGGCCAUCUCAGAAAGGGCCUCCUCAAAAUACCGGUCAUGCCCUUUCAAUCCAAAGACAUCUCUCUCUCUCUCUCUCUCUCUCUCUCUCUCUCUCUCUCUUUCUCUCUCUCUCUCUCUCUCUCGCUCACUCUCUCUCUCUCUCACACACACCCAUACACACACUUACACAGGGCAGCAACACAUAAACUGCUAUUAUGCAGGGCUGGCGGCAUCACAGCCUCCCCACCAAGAUCACCUCUGAUGACAAAAGUUAAUUUGCACUAAUGACGUUUCACUCCUCUCAUUAUCUUAAAUCAUCUCCUCCUGCCCUCUCCCCUUCCCUCCCUUUCUCUCCCCUCCCCAACCCCUUUUUCCUUCUCUCCCUCUCCCCCUCUCUUUUUUCCUUCCCCUCUCCAACCCCUUCUCUCCCUUUCUCCCUCCUUCUUUCUCUCCCUAUCUGCCAUCCCUUUCUUCUCUCCCACUCUCCCUCCCUCCCUCCCUCUGUCUCCUGUACUUUAAUCUCUGAAUCUCUCUUGUUCUCUCUCAUGUCUUCCCCCUUCUCUCUCCCUCCUUCUCUCUCCCGCGUUCUCCUGUUCUCACGUUUCAUUGUUUCAUGGAAAGAGAGAGACAGGAAGAGAGAAGAGAGACGGAUGGAGAGUGAGAAAGACAGAUAGAGAAGAGAGAGGUAUACAGGUAAAGAGGGAGAGAGUCAGAUAGAGAGAAGAUAGACAGAGAAAGGACAGAUAAAUAGGGAGUGAGACAGGGAUAUAGAGGGAGAGAAAAAUAGAUAUAGAGCAUGAGAGGGAAAGAGACAGAAAGAGAGUCCGAUAGAUAGGGAGGGAGGCAUUGAUCAAGAGGGAGAGAGACAGGAAAUUAGCCGUCACCAGCUUUCAAUCGUGGCCGCUCUGGUUGGGGUUUGAUUUUCAUUUAGAACAAUCAACACUGUUUCCUAGCUCUCCCUCUGAACUCGCUCGCUAUUGAAUUUUUAAAUUUUACAACAGCGUAAUAAUUGAGAAAGCUACUUGGGUUAAUUUUUGAGGGAAUGCCUGUGCACUCCCAAGUGUUUUUUAACUGUACAGCCCUCUGUUCGCUUUAUUUAUGUGAUGGGCCUAAGUGGUCGACUCUGUGAUUAUAACUGAGUCCCAUCUUAACAAACACAGAGUGCCUAAUGCACAAAUUAGCUCCUUUUAUAAUGUGAUUGCUGGUGUCAGGAAUUGAUGUGCCUACAGAAAACAGAAUUGUUCUUAUUUUAUUUAUUAUUAUUUUUAGCCCACUAUAUCGCAAGGCCGCUUUCCAUAAUCAAUUUGGUAUUUUUUUUAAACGUAGAAUCACUUGAGAUUUCUGCAGCAUUAAAAACUUUACUAAACGAAAUAAUCCAUCUUGAUCAUUUGAUUUUGCGGAUUCAUUGGCUGUAAUUUAAUAAGAGGCGCAAAGAGCUCAUUUACAUCUUGGAUUAUUUGGGGGGGGGGGUCUUCUUGCCGCAAUGGGGGUGGUGAGGGAGGCAUGUCAAAACAUCCGCAGAGUAACCAAAUCAACGUAUCCCUGUGGUUCAAAAAACCUUCUUAAGCCUGGCAAAUAAGUCGCCAAUUACAGUCAACUCAGAAUUGUAAUUGAGAAAAUAUUUAUAUUAAUAAUGGCACCGAUGAGGACCAAUUCAUGCCACAACUUGACAUGACAUUUUUCAGUCUGGGCUUGUAGCUUGGCGAACAUUAACUGUCAUAAAGGCAUAUAUUAAAUAGGUCCUGAAUCAUGAUUACAUAUGGGUGCUGCUACAGAUUUCAACCCCAUGGAAGACACAUCAUUCCUGGGGAAAAGUUCCUUGGAGAGUGGGUGACCCCUGUGGAAGGAAGGAAUGUAUCUAAGAUGGCCACCAAACUUUUUCCUCUCUUCCUCUUCCCUGGGAGCUCACAGACAUUAGCAGCCGAUUGAUGAGGGACCCUGGGUUUUUAGUUAGAGAUCAAAGAUUGAAACAAAAUACAUUUGCAGCUCAUCCAGAAGAAGUAGCCAUUUUUACAAUUGGUUUAGACGCAGGGUUGAGAAUAUGGGAGUGCUCCAUUUGAGAUACAAGUGUUCAUUUGUUUUCUGUAAUCGAUUCUUGAGAGAUGACUUAUGAUCCCAUUAUGAGAGCGUUUUUUUACUCACCCCAUUUCUCUCUUUCUUUCCAAUCUGAUGGCAUGACGUCAGUGGAGGGGAAGCUGUUGGCUGGGAAGAGCCAUACCUCUCCUUAGCGUAUUGAUUUCCGCUUUAUGACGGAUUGUAUACAUAUCUAUCUAGCUAUUAUAGUAUUCAGGGUAAUCAUGAACGGUAUUUAUCAACCGAAAUUAAACACAGACUCAGUAUCUGCUUAUUUAAUGGGGGGAAAGUGGUUAUUGAUCAUUUGAAAAUUUAGAUUUUAAUAAAUAUCUACAGCCAGUGCUAUGUUUAUUGAAAUCACAGAACUCUAUCUUUAAUAUUAUUUAUAUUCUUAAAGACAUCUGCAAAUAAUUAUUUGCAGAUGACCAUUGAUGUUUAGAUGUUUGAAAUUUCCUUUAAUGUUUCUGAAAAUGACAAAAGAACACUGGGGAAUCUAGGACCCAGCAGUGCUGACCAUGCCCAGGUGAUGUCAGUGAGGUCAUAAAAGGGGUGGAGCUAAACACACAGGCUUUGAGCACCAUUUUCUUGGCCAGAGAGCAACAAGGCACCUAGGCACUAGCCCUGCUGCUCAAAGCACAUGGACCGAGUUCAAUAAUCCAUGUAUUUUGGUUGAGUUUCUUGAACUGAGUUUGUGUUAGCACAGAUGGAAAUAUGAUCUUGGCUUGUAAUGAAUUGUAACCCAUUGUCAUCACAUGAGGCCCAAGUCUUUGUCUUUCUGUCCUGCCUUGAGCAAUAUUCAAACAAAUUAAUAAAACUGCUUGUAAAAGUGCUUAUACUGAAACCUUUGACUGCUGGGUUAAUUUAAAUGUGAGCACAUCCUUUUCUUGGGUCUGUGCGAAGUGUCGUUCUGUGAAGCAGUUUUUGUGAAUCAAGCAUAUAUUCAACCUAGGAGUUGCAUAUGUCACACUUUCAUGUGUGUCCAAGUAUUGGACACCAUGGCUUU